AUGGAGGUGGCGUCACUGUGCCGGCGGGUGCUCCCGACCCCGCCGGCCGUGGAGUUCGCCUCGCCGGAGGGGAGGCGGCUCUUUGCGGAGGCGCUGGAGGCCGGCACCAUGGAGGGCUUCUUCAGCCUCGUCUCCCACUUCCAGACGCAGUCGGAGCCGGCCUUCUGCGGCCUCGCCUCCAUCGCCGUCGUCCUCAACGCGCUCGCCAUCGACCCGGGCCGCCGCUGGAAGGGGCCAUGGCGGUGGUUCGACGAGUCCAUGCUCGACUGCUGCGAGCCCCUCCACGUGGUCCGCUCCCAGGGCAUCACCUUCGGCAAGGUCGUCUGCCUCGCGCGCUGCGCCGGCGCCAGCGUCCGCUGCUUCCGCGCAGACCACGCCACCGUCCACGACCUCCGCGCCCACCUCGCCCGCUGCGCCUCCUCACACGACUGCCAUCUCAUCGCCUCCUACCACAGGGGCCAUUUCAAGCAGACUGGGGGUGGCCAUUUCUCGCCAAUCGGCGGCUACCAUGCCGGGACAGACAGGGCGCUCAUCUUGGAUGUCGCGCGCUUCAAAUACCCUCCUCACUGGGUUCCACUGACACUUCUCUGGGAAGCCAUGAAUACCACUGACAAAGCAACUGGACUUCUCAGGGGGUUCAUGCUUGUCUCAAGGCACAAUUCAGCUCCUUCAUUGCUCUACACAGUGAGUUGCGGGGAUGAAAGUUGGAAAAGCAUGGCGAAAUAUUGUGUGGAAGAUGCCCCCAAUCUUUUGAAGGAUGAGAGUCCAGACAACGUCACAACACUUCUGUCCCGCCUAGUGGGAUCUCUCCCAGCCAAUGCCGGAGAUCUGAUCAAAUGUGUCGUUGAAGUCCGGAGAAAGGACGAAGGUGGGUCAUGCUUGAGCAAAGAGGGGAAAGAGAGGCUUGUUUUGAAGGAAAAGGUAUUACAGCAAGUCCGUGAUACCAAGCUUUUCAGAAUAGUCCAGGAACUGCAAUACCCCAAGCGGCUUCGUCAGGCACACACAAAUGGGGAUGGGCCAAAGAAUGUUAUCCCAGGCACCGUAGUAUCGGAAGGGAAUGAACAAGCAAAUAGUGUUGAUUUGCUUUUAUCAACAUCCCCAUCGGAAAAAAGCUUAUGCAAUCCAAACUCGACGAACGAGGCUGUUAAGUAUCCAUCAAGCACAGAUGUCCUAACUGUCCUGCUGCUGGUUUUACAUCCGAGCACAUGGUUUGGCAUAAGAGAUGAGAUAGUGAAAGCUGAAUUUCAGAGUCUUGUUUCAACAGAUGACCUUCCUGACCUUCUUAAACGGGAGGUACUGCAUCUAAAGCGGCAGCUCCAUUAUUUAACUGGUUGUGAAGGAGAGGAGGCAUCUCAAGAGCCUAUGCCACUAUCCCCUUAG
rnacentral:rRNA from 1 species